AUCGAAAAUUGAGGUUGAAGCUCAGUUUCAAGAAAAACUUCUCAGACCAGCUUGCGGGUGUUCUUACCUCAAUUUUUUUUCCCUCCAUCGACAAGAGAGAAAUAGCUGUUGCAAAAAGAACUUUCCAAAAUAACCCUCAUCUUUAUAUCAUGCCACCCUUUACCUUGCAAUAGUUUUCGACUGGGCAUUUGCAAAUCCAUCUUCUCUCUAGUAAUCAUUCGUCGCUUGUCUUCUUCGAUCCUCUCCUCUCCUCUCCUCUCAAAAUUAAUCUUCUUUCCUUCUUUUUUCUCUUUUAAAAAACUAUUACUUGUCCAACAUUGAACAUGCCCGAUUCUUUUCUCUAAGAAGCUAUCUACAGAUUUGUGUUGUUUGUGGAGGCUCAAUAACAAGAAUAGCCCGAAAACUACAAAGAACAAACAGAACAGGUGUUGUGAAGUAGGUAAUGUAGUUGCUUCUUUACAAAUCUUUAGCUGAAUAUCUAUUUUAAUUACACUAAAUUGAAACUUAGGGUGUUGUCGAUUGAGUUAUUUACAUUAUAUUUUAGGCUAAAUCUUUAACAUAUCAAUCAUUGCAACAAGCUAAUGUUCAAACUUGAUUCAUUUAUAGAAUUGAUUUUUUCAUCUCAUCAAAAACCAGAAUUUUAUUUCAUUUUAUCCAUGCUAAGAUUCAAAGUAAGAACAUUGAUAAGUGACAGAGGUUGCGGGCAACAUGCUCUAUUUCCAUACUCACUGUAGACCUCUAGUUUUAAUGUUAUGGUGUCCUGGACCUACCCCGUGAGUGUGUAGGACAACAAAUGGGCUUAACAUGAGCUCAUUGUCACACAUUUCGAAUGGAUUGUGAACUUUUUUAGUCCCUGCCCCUCGCUGCAUAUUGUGGUUAGUCAACUUGUGUUUCAUUACUUGUAACUAAUGGCUAAGAGAUUGGGUCUGAAAGAAACGAAUGUGAUAUUUAAAUUGCUCACAUGUUUGUCAUACAAGGAAAACUAAAGCAAGAACAAGAAGGGAUCAGUUUGAAUAUGCUUGUGCAUUAUUGGAUAUCAUCUGCUUUUGAAACACAUAUUUAUGAGUGUUGGCCCACAACAAAAUAUGAUUAUAACUAAGGUAAUUCAGGUUCACCAUUCGUUAAACUUUGUUGCAGCUACUAGGGAUGAUUGCUCCUUUAAUUUUGGUGGUCUUUGUUGACUCGUGACUAGUGAGGAGCCAGACAUGUCAUAAUCAUGGAUUAAUAAAGCUAAGAAAUCAUCAACUCACAAGGAGCUUUUCGAAUUAGUCAUUGCUCAUUAAUGAAACUGUAGAAUUAUAUAAUCACUGGUGUAUCUUAUACAGCUUUUGCAUGUUAAGAAAUCAUCAACUCACAAGGAGCUUUUCGAAUUAGUCAUUGCUCAUUAAUGAAACUGUAGAAUUAUAUAAUCACUGGUGUAUCUUAUACAGCUUUUGCAUGUUGUGUUAUUGUUGUUUUGUUCUUUUUAAGAGGGAAAGGGCUCGGUUCCAUAACAAAGGCAUAUUAUAUGGUCUGCAGUUCUUACUUAGUUAAUGUUAUUAUUUGUUGUUAGUGUUUAAUCUUACAGCUAAUGCUUAAAUUCUUGUCUAAACAAAAUGGCAUUGGUUGUUUGCUUUCAAAUAUGUUAUCGAACUAGGAAUGAAAGGUCCUUAAAUUAUGGAUAAAGUUACUUGGACUGAGGAAUUGUUGCAUAUCUUUUGUGAUAUUUACAUCAAGACCAUCAACAUGGGAAUGAGACCAAAUACUCAUUUCAAUAAAGCUGGUUGGAAAUCUCUAUUGACAUCCUUCAAAGAACAAAUUGGUCAUGCAUUCACCAAGGCAUAACUGAAGAACAAAUGAGAUGGCUACAAAAAGGAUUGGAGGAUGUGGACAGAGUUGAUUUCUGAAAUUUCUGAAACUAGUGUUGGUUGGAGUAGCAAAUUAGCAACUAUCUCUAUGAGUGAUGAGUGGUGGAAAACAAAAAUUCAGGAAAUAAGAGAAGCAAAAAAGUCUAGGCAUGCUGGUAUCGAACCAUCUUUAUGGUUUAAGUUUUCUCAAACAUUGUUGCUACUAGACAGUAUGCGUGGGCACCAUCUUCCAAAGUCUUGUGUGAUGAUGAUGCUGGUGAUGAUGGCAAUCACAAUGCCAAUGUUGAUAAGCCUGAUUUGGAAGAAGAAAGCAGUGAUUCUGAGGAGGAUGGCAUUCCAAAUUUUACGGAUGAUAUUUGUAACAUGGUUGGUGGGGUUAAAAUGUCCAGCAAAAGUAACACACGUAUCUGUGGCAAGAGAAAAUAAAAAAGAAUAUUUUAAGGUUCAAGAUAGGAAAAAAGCCAUAGAAAAUCGGAUUACAGCUGCUGUCAUGUUGGGAUUAACUAGUUGACAGCAUGUCCACCAAGAGUGAUUCAACAUCUGUUAGCAUGGAUAGGAAAUGGUGUAAUAUUCUUGAGGUUAUGACAGAGCUUCACUUCAUUGAAGAAGUUACCAUAGGAGAUGAAUUUCAUGGCUUUGCUAUUGAGUAUUUGAGUUUAAGACGGAUGAGAGAAAUGUGGGCAAGUAUAGGAGAUCUUGAAAAGAAGCUUAAAUGGAUACAAAGAAUGUAUGAGCGAAUAAACCUGUUUAGAUCGAGAGGUUAAUAUGGUGGCUGUGUUGACAAGAUGAUUGCUAAUAUCAUGAUUCCUUCAUGUUAGUCUAAAAUUCUGUAAUUUGACAGUUAAAUCCAUCAAUUGUUGGCAGCUGCAUUCGGUUAAGUUUUAGUGCAUUAGGAUUUAUCAUGUGAAAUUAUAGAAGGUAGAUUAGUUAGUUAAAUCCUUUAUGUGUUUGCCAAUUGUUGAGUAUGAUGAGUUUGUUAGUUGUUAACAUGUAAUUUAUGAGAAUAAUUGUGAAAAAUUUCUAUGUUAUUUGUCCUUGCCGAUUAUAAA